AGGCAGCAGUGGGGAAUUUUGGACAAUGGGCGAAAGCCUGAUCCAGCCAUGCCGCGUGAGUGAAGAAGGCCUUCGGGUUGUAAAGCUCUUUCAGCCGGAAAGAAAUCGCGCAGGCUAAUACUCUGCGUGGAUGACGGUACCGGAAGAAGAAGCACCGGCUAACUACGUGCCAGCAGCCGCGGUAAUACGUAGGGUGCGAGCGUUAAUCGGAAUUACUGGGCGUAAAGCGUGCGCAGGCGGUGAUGUAAGACAGAUGUGAAAUCCCCGGGCUCAACCUGGGAACUGCGUUUGUGACUGCAUCACUCGAGUACGGCAGAGGGAGGUGGAAUUCCGCGUGUAGCAGUGAAAUGCGUAGAUAUGCGGAGGAACACCGAUGGCGAAGGCAGCCUCCUGGGCCAGUACUGACGCUCAUGCACGAAAGCGUGGGGAGCAAACAGGAUUAGAUACCCUGGUAGUCCACGCCCUAAACGAUGUCAACUAGUUGUUCGGUGAGGAGACUCAUUGAGUAAC
rnacentral:rRNA from 1 species